rnacentral:lncRNA from 1 species
AUGCUGACAAGCCCCUGGAGUUAUAUGCCAGGUUCAACCUCCACUAUUCAGUCCUAUGCUGACAAGCCCCUGGAGUUAUAUGCCAGGUUCAACCUCCACUAUUCAGUCCUAUGGCUGACAAGCCCCUGGAGUUAUAUGCCAGGUUCAACUCCUAUUCAGUCCUGUGAGCUGACAAGCCCCUGGAGUUAUAUGCCAGGUUCACCUCCACUAUUCAGUCCUAUGCUGACAAGCCCCUGAGUUAUAUUAUGUUGGUUCAACCUCCACUAUUCAGUCCUGUGCUGACAAGCCCCUGGAGUUAUAUGCCAGGUUCAACCUCCACUAUUCAGUCCUAUGAGCUGACAAGCCCCUGGAGUUAUAUGCCAGGU